AGGGUGGUCGCGCACGAGGUGCGGUGAGCGCCCGCUGCCCCGACGUGUCCCGGUGGGACCGGCCGUCCCUGCGACACCGUGGAGGUGACCGGAUAAUUUCCGGCCUCAGCAUUCUUGAGUUCUUGGUGCCAGAUGCCAUCACUGGACCCAUAAUUCAAAGACUUGGGUAAAGAUGACAGGACCGGUUACAGAGAACAGCACAGACCCUGUGAAGGCACCUGAAAGUGAACUUUAAAGAUCAAGAUGAGGUUUUCAGGAAGGCUUUCCCUCGUCACCAGGAAGGGAUCUUGGAAGAUAGGCCUGGGGCUGGCACAGUCACAGGAAAAAGAGAAUUGUGAAAGGAGUAAUGGCACCAUGCUUUGUCAGUUCUUCAUCAGUGAUUUGUAUCUGAUUCUCUUCUGCAGCCACAUGAGAGAGGGCAAAUGCAAUAAUCCAAAGGAGGAUGGAGCACAGUCCAAAUCUGAAUAAUAGGAAGGAACUCUCAUUAGGAGCCUGGAUUAUUUGAUAAUAACCAUGUGAGGCUGCUUCAGCAGAGCUGUAAUUCGACAAAAUAUUAGAGAAAAUCUUUGAGAGAUGGAUUAGCAGUCAGAGCUACAUGCUGAAGUCUUGGAUUUCUAUUCUCCUGAAUUUAAAGUCCUUUGAAAAAUCAGACCAUAAAGAGAGAGAACAUGCAACUAAGAGAGUCAUGCAACUAAGAGGGGACCCUGGGUCUAAGGUGUGAGCCACAGAGACAGAGCAGCAAUUCCUUCUGGAAAUGGCUUGGGAAUACCAUGGAGGAAGCAGGAGCAUUGGUGAGAUUUUGAAGAUGGAAGAGUGAAAGAUGAGGUGCUAAAUCUGAGACUGUGGCUGCUAAAAUGAGCUGCUGAACAUCAGAGAGCAAGAAUUACUGCAUUUCCUAAGAGUGCUGCAGAACCUCUGAGGCUUUUAUUUCUCGUAAUAGAAAUCCACAUGGGUCUCAAGAAGUGUUAAAAACAGUUUUUGAAAACAACAGUUUUUCAUAAAGGCAAAAAUAUUUUUAUAUAUAUAAAAUAUGUGUCCUAUGCUCUGUGUUUAUCUGGUAUGCCCAUUCCAGGUCCCCUGAGCAGAUAAUGCUGCAUCCUCGGCUCCCACACCCACCACCCUCAGCUCCUCACCCUCCGUCCUGGCCACCGUGCUGUACAUUAUUUCAAAGGAGCACAGCUGGGUGCUGGACUGUAAUUUCUCAUGCAGCUCAGAUCAGGUCCAUUAGUUUAUUUGAAGGUUAGGACCAAGACCAUAGAAGUGCAUGAGAAGCUAAUAGACAGACUGGUGUUCCUGCUGUGUUCAUGGGGGCUUAAACCAGGGAGAAAAUAGGUACAUCCCUAGUAUUUUCACCUUUUGCUUCACGAUUUGCAGUAGGCUCAUUCAUAAAUGACAAAGAAACAGCUCCCUGCUGUGAGGUCCUCAUACCACAGAGAGCUGUAAUGAGUUUGUAACGAGCUGGAGAUAAGGAAGAUUUUUAGUGAUUACUCAGACAAAUCUCUGAGUGCAAAUCAGAGAUGUGCUGAGUGAGGGGUAUAUCUUUCCAUCACUUUCCAUGGCUUAAACAUCUGAGGAUACUUAAGGUAUUCUCAUGGUAUUAUGUAAGAACUCAGUAAGACAAAAAUGUCCUAAAUGCAUCUUUAUGGAUUUUUUUGCCUUCGCUGUAUGUCAGAAACUUCUGUAAUUUGACAGCCACCAGCAGUGAUUAAUGGCUAGCAAUAUGGCUAGAGGCAAUGUGUGUUUCAAAGUCAGUAUCAGGAAAGCCUCUAUGAUCUGGGAAGUCUUUGGCUGCGGAACUGUCUCCUUGCAAAAUCAGAAACAAGUAUUUUGCCUGUGUGCUCAUUGAAGAGCUCCAAAUAAAUAGCUGGAAUAUAAAUGAAGAGGAGUGAAAAACAGGAGAAUAUUUACCUCAGAGUGUGGUGCUAAACUGAGAUUUAAGGGUAGUUUCUGUUUCGGUCUUUUAUCAUAGCUUCAGUAUAUUUAUAUUUUUUAUAGGUAUGCAUAUAUAUUUGUGGAGGGGUAUACAUAUAAGUGCUCCAGAAAGAAAUGUUUUAUUUUCAUUUUCUUAGAAGAUCAGGUGUUUUCUGUGUUUAAUCUUAGCAUAGCUAAUAUAUAUUCAGAUACUAAAGUAACCAUGGCAAAACAAAUAAGUAAAUAUUUCCAAAGAUGACUCCUGUACCUCAUUUACUGCUCUUUUCAAAAUGGGUGGUUAUGAAUAAACCAUGGACUUCCACAAGUAUAUGCUCUGCAGGAUUUCAGGUACAAGAAAUUAAAAGGUCAGAAAAUUACAAUAAAUAGGUUUACUGCAUCCCUGUAUAACAUAAAUCUCAUUUCUAUUUGCCGUGUUCUGUCCUUCUUAAUUAAAAUAUCAGACCACAUGUACAGUCUGGAGCAGCUCAAUUAUGAAAGGUUAGAUCCAUCAGUUUAUUUCUGAUUGGUUUAUUAAUUACUGGCCUUGACUCUUGAUUCAAAUCAGCACUCUUUCCUCAGGAUAAAAGUGCAUAUUUUGUUACAAAUAAUAUACUGUACUUUUAUACAAAAAUAAACAUUU